rnacentral:sRNA from 1 species
GAGGGAGUGAAUGGAUGACUGCCCAUGCCGCUGUCACUGUAAUAAAGGACUAAGAAGACAAGAUUUAAGAGGAAGAGAUAACCGUAGGACUUACAGAAUUUCCAGAACAAAAAUUGUUUGCUGCCCUGUUGAUUAAAUGUGUUGUGCAGCUGGAACUCAUCCAGACUAUCGACAACAUUGUCUUCUUCCCAGCCACAAGUAAGAAAGAAGAUGCAGAAAACUUAGCUGCAGCACAGAGAGAUGCGGUGGACUUUGAUGUUCGCGUUGAUACUCAAGACCAAGGAAUGUACCGCUUUUUAACAUCACAACAACUUUUUAAGCUACUGGACUGCUUAUUAGAGUCACAUAGAUUUGCAAAAGCGUUUAAUUCCAACAACGAACAGAGGACUGCCCUGUGGAAAGCAGGAUUCAAAGGCAAAUCCAAGCCCAACCUUCUGAAGCAGGAGACCAGCAGCCUGGCCUGUGGGCUGCGCAUUCUCUUCCGGAUGUACAUGGAUGAGAGCCGCAUUAGUGCCUGGGAGGAGGUCCAGCAGAGGCUUUUGAAUGUCUGCAGUGAAGCACUAAGUUACUUCCUCACUCUAACAUCAGAAAGUCAUCGAGAAGCCUGGACUAACUUACUGCUUUUGUUUCUAACUAAAGUUCUAAAGAUAAGUGAUAAUAGGUUUAAAGCUCAUGCAUCAUUCUACUACCCUCUCUUAUGUGAAAUUAUGCAAUUUGACUUGAUUCCUGAACUUCGUGCUGUUCUUAGAA